UUCUAUACGAUCACUGAAGUUAAGCAACAUCGAGCCAGGUCAGUACCUAGAUGGGUAACUGCUUGGGAAUACCAGGUGCUGUUA